CCUACGGGUGGCAGCAGUGAGGAAUAUUGGUCAAUGGGCUUACGCCUGAUCCAGCCAAGCCGCGUGUGGGAAGACUGCCCUCUGGGUUGUAAACCUCUUUUGUCAGGGAGCAAUUGGCGCUACGUGUAGCGUUAUCCAGCGUACCUGAAGAAAACGCAUCGGCGAAAACCGUGCCAGCAGCCGCGGUUAUACGGGGGAUGCGAGCGUUAUCCGGAAUUAUUGGGUUUAAAGGGUGCGUAGGCGGGCAUUGAAGUUAGCGGUAAAACUUCGGGGCUCAACCCGGUGCCGUCGUUAAAACUGGAGUCCGUGAGUGAAGUAGAGGAAGGCGGAAUGCGUAGUGUAGCGGUGAAAUGCGUAGAUAUCACGAAGAACACCAGUUGCGAAGGCGGCCUGCCGG
rnacentral:rRNA from 1 species